CCUUUUAUUUUGGUCCUGCUCUAUUCAGUCCUAUUAAUGGUCAUGAAGGAAACUGGGAUUUGCAGGGAAGAGAGGCUUUUUUUUUCAAUCAGGAUGACAUAGGUGAAAAAAACGGAAUUGAAGCUCUCAUCUGGGUCCAAGUGGAACUUGUUGCAGUUAAACCAAGAUGAUGUGCUGGAGUUUAACUUGGUUAAACUUGUGUCUAUCAGUGGAAGAUGCUGUUGUUCCAACCCCUGUUGCUGUUAGGCCACAAACUCCAGAUAUUUUUUCUUCCCUAACAUGCUAAAACCCAUCGUGGCAAACCAGCUUCCCUAGCCAUGGGUUGGCAAGGCGACCUCCCCCCUUCCCCAGCCACCUAAAGGGACAUUAGAAUUGCAAAUGGGUCACCCCAUCUAUUGCACAGAUCAGUGCUCCUCCUCGCUGGCAUGGUGGGUAGAUCUGGCUGGUGUGUGGGAAACCAUCCCUUUCGGUAAAGGCAACAGCACCCUGACACCAAAAUCCUCCAGCCGGCAUGAGUGCCACCACACCAUGGACUGCACGAGGCUCAGCUGCAAGCAGGAGCGCUGAGAAAAGCAGCUACGUGCCGAGGUGCCCUCAAGGCUGGGAGUGGCAUUGUGCCAGCAAGGACAGGCACACCAACCCCUGGAAGAUCUCUCCAGCUGCUCAAAAAUUGGGACAAGCAGCCAGUGUCCAUCCUCUCAUUGUGUUCAAGGGCUUGGGACAGUCCUGUGGCGGUGUCCUGCCGUGGGAAGGGACAGCGUCCUCGUUUCUGCCCUCAGAACUGAACAGCUGAUUCCCCGCACACUGGCCAGGAUCUUAAAGCAACUGCCCAGGCUGAGACGACUGGGGGGACAGGGACUGGUGGCCCCCAGCACUGGGCACCUCUGAGCUCCGGCACGCUGUGAAAACCCAUCGCUCCAGUUAUGAAACUCCGGUGACCUACUUUACACUCCCUGCUUUUGUUCUUAAUUCCCAGAUAUGGCCGCUCUCCAGAUUUUGCCCAUCAAGGCAAAUUAAUUGGAGUAGAUCCUAAUUUGCUCUCUGCUAUUCUUUGGGCAGAAGAUUAAAUGCUCUGCAGACAUUAUCUCCCACUCUCUUUUCUAAGAGACAAACCUGAAUUAUUAAAAAAAAAAAAAAAGGGAUAAAGGAAGGCCGAGUUAGGCUGAGUUGAUGUUUGAAUUCACUUUUUGUAAUCGCAGAAGGGGCUGGGGAGGCCCCCGUGUCCCCAGACAGCUGGAACCAGAUGGUG
rnacentral:lncRNA from 1 species